CCCAGACUCCUACGGGAGGCAGCAGUGGGGGAUAUUGCACAAUGGGGGAAACCCUGAUGCAGCGACGCCGCGUGGGUGAAGAAGCGCCUCGGCGCGUAAAGCCCUGUCAGCAGGGAAGAAAAUGACGGUACCUGAAGAAGAAGCCCCGGCUAACUACGUGCCAGCAGCCGCGGUAAUACGUAGGGGGCAAGCGUUAUCCGGAUUUACUGGGUGUAAAGGGGGCGCAGACGGCGAUGCAAGCCAGGAGUGAAAGCCCGGGGCUCAACCCUGGGACUGCUCUGGAAACUGUAAAGCUGGAGUGCGGGAGGGGCAGGCGGAAUUCCUGGUGUAGCGGUGAAAUGCGUAGAUAUCAGGAGGAACACCGGCGGCGAAGGCGGCCUGCUGGACCGUAACUGACGUUGAGGCUCGAAAGCGUGGGGAGCAAACAGGAUUAGAUACCCGUGUA
rnacentral:rRNA from 1 species